AAAUGUAAUGACCCCAAAAAUUUGACCCAAACUAUCCCCAAAGGCCAUUUUGCCUUUCUUUAAAAGAGAGAGAGAGAGAGAGAGAGAGAGAGAGAGAGAGAGAGAGAGAGAGAAGAAGAGGAAGGGAGAAAGCUCACCUGAGCUCGUCGCCGGAGCAACCGUGUGCCGUGACCACGUUGAGCUCGUCACCACCGUUCGCUGCAGCUUAGAAUCGCCGGAAACCGCCAUGCAGUUAAGCUUAGUUUCGUCUGUUUAGUAAUUCGCCGAUAACUCUCUAACCGUUGCGAAUCUCGUGCAUCCAACACCAUCAUCGUGUUCCUCUCGUCAAGACGAAGCCGUAGACACCAACCACGCCUCAAUUGGAGCCCGGACGAAGCCGCACGCGCCUCCCGAAGAUUCGCCUUGGCGCGCGUGAAACACACGCGCCGCCGCCGUCCGCCGCAACUCCGCCGCCGGACCACCGUCCUCCGCCGCAGCUCUGCCGUCGCCGCCGGCCAACUUUCCGAUUUGGAGUCCAUUUGAGCAGCUGGAGUUCAUAUAUACCACUUCUCUUCAUUGCUAAGGUGAGACCGACGAGCAGGAGUGAUUAUACCGGACCGGUGCUUUUGGGCUUUUACUACUAUUGGGCUUUUGGGCUUCUAUCGUUUUAUCGCUUUUAUCGUUAUCGGGCCUCUAGGCCUUUGGGCUUUUAUCGUUUAUGUUAUUUCGUAUUUCGGACUCUCGGUUUAUGUCGUACUUUAUGUUUCAGAUUUUAUUUUAUAUUAUGGAAUUCAAGCGUAGAUGUUGACUUUCAAAUAUUUAUAUAUGGAUAUUUCAGAUAUUUGUACUUAUCGAAUUAUUUUUACUAUUUCGAAAGUGACGGGUGUCACAUUUUGGUAUCAGAGCGGGUCCCGUCCCGGCUCCGACCCGGGAUGGCGAUUUUGGAGACCUUGGUUUAUUCGGUUUAAACGAUUUUAGACGAUUUCAAAAUAUUUUCGGGGAUUUGGGAACUUUGAAAAUAAAAAUAAAUGGCACCUUCCGGUUCAGUAACUUCUAAUCAAAUUUUCUUUUUAUUGACGAUGAGUUACUCAUCGUCAUCCGUUCUCUAGCUAACAUGAUUUCUGCCAGAUGUUCGACAUAUGAAUGAUGAUGUCACAGUUGAACGGAUUGCUCAGGUGUGUAUCAGUUUUCGUCAGCCGUAUUCGGAGAUUGUUCGCAUGUGGAUGUGUGACGUUGUUGCCACCACCCAAACUUCAAGUCAUCGCUCAACGAGUUUUGUUACUGGAGAUUAUGUGGUAUGAGUUGCGAGCCAUGAGUUGGCAUGUGUUAUUCGUGUGUAUGAUAUAUAGACUGCCUUGGAGGCAUGGUUAGUUUGUAAACUCGUGGGGAUCACUUUUAGAUUUGGCGGCAGCUUGCGUUGUGUGAUCGUGGAGUUAUGCUUGGUAUGUUUGCCAGUUUUUGACAUUGUUGAUCGUUUCAGAGAUGUGUCAGUUCGGACAGCUGACAUAGGAUGUUGAGAGCUAUUUAUAUUCAAUGCGGCGUACCAGUUAUUCUUGGAGGAGUCGAGUUAUUCGGAUAUUCAUCAGAGAUGGAGCUACGUUUUUACGAUGUUAUCCUUGGGAUGGAUUGACUGUCACGGCAUCAAGUAGUGUUGGAUUGCCUGAGGGCAAGAGUUCCGAUUGCUGGAGCAGAUGGAAGUUGUUAGUGCAUGCAUGCUACAUACUGAGGAGUUAUGGGGUACAAGGAUAUAGAGAUUUUUGACUACCAUCUCGAUGGUUAAGGAUGAUGGACAACAUGAGCUGCAGGAUCUUCCGGUUAUUGCAGAGUAUGAGGAUAUAUUUGUGACCUUUGGAAAGGCCACCACAAGACACAUGAGACGCUCUUGCAAUUUUAUUUUAUUUUGGAGCAAACAGUACUGGUUUCGCGAGUUUCUUAUCGUCUAUCACCAGCAUGGAUGACUGAGUUGAGAAAGCGAUUGGAGGAACUCUUUGAUAAGGGAUUUAUCAGAUCGAGUUCUUCCCCAUGGGGAGCAUCAUUGUUGUUGUAAAUAAGAAAGGUGGGAGUUUCAGAUUUUGUAUCGACUACAUAGACUUGAACAUGGUAACCAUCGUAUUGACGAGUUGUUAGAAGAGCUUAAUGGAGGUUCUUCGUUCUCGAAGUUUGUCUUGGCAUCAAGAUACCAUCAGAUUUCUAUAGCUGAGGAGUAUGUACGGAAUGCAGAUUUCCGUUAUGGACAUUACGAGUUCGUAGUGAUACCAUUUGGGUCGACAAAGGCACUGUUGCAUUCAUGAAGAUAUGAAUGACGUUUUCGUGAACAUUUGGAUAGGUGUGCGAUUGUAUUCACCAACGGCAUCCUGAUUAUUUUGGAAUAGAAAGGAGAUUUGUGAGCAUUUAGCGGAUUGCGUUGGAUAAGCCUGGAGAGCAUCAGUUGUUCGUUAAGUUAAGGAAGUGUAGCUUCUGGCAGAGGAAUGUUGUAUUUUUGGGUAACAUGGUUUUGGAAGCAGAAUUUUGAUGGAUCCAAAGAAGAUUAAUACCGUUUCGGGAAGGUCGGAACCUAAAAGCGCUACAAAGAUCUGCCGUUCUUUUUGGGUUAAUAGUGUACUACUGGAAGUUCAUCAAGGGUUUCACCGGUAUAGUAAUGUUAAAGACGCGGUCUACAUGUAAAGACGUUAAGUGUGGUUGGAUAGAUUUUUGUUCGAGGAGUUUCACUGAAUUGAAGCACAACUAAUGAAGACACCAGUUUUGGGUUCUACUGAGGCUGAGGCUUACUAUGAUGUGUCAGAUACUGGAUUGGAUUUAAAUUAAGGUAUGAGGAUUAAGUCAUUCAUAUGCAUCACGCCAGAGAGGCUGUAGUGGUAUUUGCGUUAUCGUUUUGGAGAUCGUAAUUGUACGGGAAGGAAGUUCAGACUCUCUGGGAUUAUUAGAAUGUGAAAUUUAUCUUCAUUUAUUAAAAACUUGUACUUGGACAGUGCAGUUGGAUUGAGUUUGUAGCAGGCUAUAGUCUGGAUAUCGCAUACUAUCUGGUAAGGACAACCAGGUGAUAAAUGCCUUGGGUAGGCGUAUGAGCUGUAUCUCAGGAACCAAGAAGGUUCAUGAGUUGGAGAUUUGCUAGUCUCAGGUUGGGUGCCAUUACUAUCAAUGGAGAGACAGAUGUCCUUGGGACUUUGGAGCAAGCAGUUUUGCUAUGGAGGAUACACAAGCACAAGUUAGCAUUAUGGAUUUGGUUGAACAGAUCGAGAUUGGGAGUAUUGGAUAUCAUACAGCUUCGAAUGGGAUGUUCAUGUAUCGGAACCGGGUUUGUGUGCCUAAUGAUGAGUUGUUAAAAAAGGAAAUCUUGCAGCAGGCACACCACUCGCGUUUCUCUAUUCAUCCAGGAAACACCAAGAUGUACAAGGAUCUCAAGCGUUAUUAUCAUUGGCCUGGCAUGAAGAGGGAUGUUGCUUCAUUUAUAUCGCAGUGUCAGACGUGUCAGAUGGUCAAGGCCGAGCAUCAGGUGCCUAGCGGGUUAUUGCAGAACCUGCCAAUGCCAGAGUGGAAAUGGGACAUGGUAACUAUGGAUUUUGUGACGGGGUUGCCAACCACCUUAGGUGGAAAGAAUGCCAUUUGGGUAAUCGUGGAUAGACUUACCAAGUCAGCCCAUUUUCUAGCUAUUAAGAAGACGGACAGAGCUGAUCAGUUAACACAGACUUACAUCAGCGAGAUUGUGAGAUUGCAUGGAGUUCCUGUCAGCAUUGUAUCAGAUCGAGAUACAAAGUUUACGUCCGAAUUUUAGAGAGCCUUUCAGAAGGCGCUUGGGACGAAAGUGCAUAUGAGUAUGGCUUAUCACCCGCAGACAGACGGUCAGUCAGAGAGGACGAUUCAGACUUUGGAGGAUAUGCUUAGAGCUUGUGUUUUGGAUUGGGAAGGGAGUUGGGCAAAGUACCUACCCCUAGCGGAGUUUGCCUACAAUAAUAGUUAUCACUCGAGCAUUAAGAUGGCGCCAUAUGAGGCCCUUUAUGGUAGGCCUUGUCGCACACCGCUUUGUUGGACCGAAGUGGGGGAGCGACGUGAGAUAGAACCUGCAAUGGUUCAAGAGACAGUUGAGAAGGUUGAGAUGCUUAAGAUACGGCUUAGGGAAGCCCAUGACCGUCAGAAGAGUUAUGCAGAUAAGCGGCGUAAAUAUUUGGAGUUCCAGGUUGGCGACCUGGUAUACCUGAAAAUGAGGACAUUUCAGGGAGGAUCUAAGACUCGAAAGCUGAAGAAGCUUAAACCGAGAUAUAUGGGACCAUAUCCCAUUUUGGAGCGAAUUGGAGCAGUUGCUUACCGAUUGGAUUUAUCCGAAGAGUUAUCAGAUUUCCAUGACGUGUUUCAUGUUUCUGUUUUGAGGAAAGUCGUGAGAGAACCGGAGCUCAUUUUGCAGUAGCCGCGCAGUGACCUUGGUAGGAAUUUGCGUGCGCCGUGUCAGCCAGUAGAGCUAUUGGAUCGCCAAGUGAGAGCAGAUGAUGGUAUGAUGACUAUGCUGGUCAAAGUUCGUUGGGAGAGAGAUGGUAUUCAGGAGGAGACUUGGGAGUGCAAGCCCCAGAUGAGGAUUGAUUAUCCGGAGCUUUUCCGGGUUGACAUUGGGCAUGACAGCUUAUGAAUUGAAUUCGGGGACGAAUUCCUUGUAAGUAGGGGAGAAUUGUAAUGACCCUAAAUGUAAUGACCCCAAAAAUUUGACCCAAACUAUCCCCAAAGGCCAUUUUGCCUUUCUUUAGAGAGAGAGAGAGAGAGAGAGAGAGAGAGAGAGAGAGAGAGAGAGAGAGAGAGAGAGAGAGAGAGAGAGAGAGAGAGAGAGAGAGAGAGAGAGAAGGGAGAAAGCUCACCUGAGCUCGUCGCCGGAGCAACCGUGUGCCGUGACUACGUUGAGCUCGUCACCACCGUUCGCUGCAGCUUAGAAUCGCCGGAAACCGCCAUGCAGUUAAGCUUAGUUUCGUCCAUUUAGUAAUUCGCCGAUAACUCUCUAACCGUUGCGAAUCUCGUGCAUCCAACAUCAUCAUCGUGUUCCUCUCGUCAAGACGAAGCCGUAGACACCAACCACGCCUCAAUUGGAGCCCGGACGAAGCCGCACGCGCCUCCCGAAGAUUCGCCUCGGCGCGCGCGUGAAACACACGCGCCGCCGCCGUCCGCCGCAACUCCGCCGCCUGACCACCGUUCUCCGCCGCAACUCCGCCGCCGGACCACCGUCCUCCGCCGCAGCUCCGCCGUCGCCGCCGGCCAACUUUCCGAUUUGGAGUCCAUUUGAGCAGCUGGAGUUCAUAUAUACCACUUCUCUUCAUUGCUAAGGUGAGACCGACGAGCAGGAGUGAUUAUACCGGACCGGUGCUUUUGGGCUUUUACUACUAUUGGGCUUUUGGGCUUCUAUCGUUUUAUCGCUUUUAUCGUUAUCGGGCCUCUAGGCCUUUGGGCUUUUAUCGUUUAUGUUAUUUCGUAUUUCGGACUCUCGGUUUAUGUCGUACUUUAUGUUUCAGAUUUUAUUUUAUAUUAUGGAAUUCAAGCGUAGAUGUUGACUUUCAAAUAUUUAUAUAUGGAUAUUUCAGAUA